rnacentral:rRNA from 1 species
GAUGAACGCUGGCGGCGUGCCUAAUACAUGCAAGUCGAGCGAACAGACGAGGAGCUUGCUCCUCUGACGUUAGCGGCGGACGGGUGAGUAACACGUGGAUAACCUACCUAUAAUACUGGUAUAACUUCGAGAAACCGGAGCUAAUACCGGAUAAUAUAUUGAACCGCAUGGUUCAAUAGUGAAAGUCGGUUUUGCUGUCACUUAUAGAUGGAUCCCCGCCGCAUUAGCUAGUUGGUAAGGUAACGGCUUACCAAGGCAACGAUGCGUAGCCGACCUGAGAGGGUGAUCGGCCACACUGGAACUGAGACACGGUCCAGACUCCUACGGGAGGCAGCAGUAGGGAAUCUUCCGCAAUGGGCGAAAGCCUGACGGAGCAACGCCGCGUGAGUGAUGAAGGUCUUCGGAUCGUAAAACUCUGUUAUUAGGGAAGAACAAAUGUGUAAGUAACUAUGCACGUCUUGACGGUACCUAAUCAGAAAGCCACGGCUAACUACGUG